rnacentral:misc_RNA from 1 species
AAAGUCGUAACAAGGUUUCCGUAGGUGAACCUGCGGAAGGAUCAUUAGCAAAGAGAGGGAAGAGAUUUACAAAGGAGAAGAGGUAUGUGGAAAAGGAGUGAUUAUUUGAAGGAGGAUUUGAAGGAGAUUUGAAUAUUGUCGAGUCAUUUGAAGAUAUUUAAAUAUUGUCGAAUCAUUUGGAUCAUUUUGCUCUUGCUUCACAUACACAGAAAACAAAAACUAUUAUACAAUUUAAUUAUUAUUAGCAAAAAACUUUUAACAAUGGAUCUCUUGGCUCUC